CUUCCUUCCUUCUUUCUUUCUAUCUAUCUUUCUUGCUUUCUUUCUUUCUUUCUUUCUUUCUUUCUGUCUUUCUUUCUUUCUUUCUUUCUUUCUUUCUUUCUUUCUUUCUUUCUAUCUUUCUUUCUUUCUUUCUUUCAUUCUAUCUUUCUUUCUUUCUUUCGUUCCUUCUUUCAUUCCUUCUUUCUUUCCUUCUUUCUUUCCUUCUUUCUUUCCUUCUUUCUUUCUUUCUUUCUUUCUUUCUUUCUUUCUUUCUUUCUUUCUUUCUUUCUUUCUUUCUUUCUUUCUUUCUUUCACUGGCCAGUGGUUAGCAAACCCUUAACUCCAUCAAUUUUUAUUUCAGAAUCCCACAUCUUGUAAAGGUAUUACAUAUACAUAUGUGUAUAUAUAUAUAUAUAUAUAAACUCAUUUUCAGUAGACAUUGUAAUGUCUUAAUAUCUUUAUUUCUUACCUUUUAUCUUCUGUGAUUUCAUCAUCCAGUUUGGAGGCAAUUAAUGAGGAGUGUCAUGGUCAACUCAUUCCUCUUCCUCCAUUCCCCCCCCCCCUUUCCUGCUGUCUCUCUGACAGAACAAUAUGACAAAACAAAAAACCCAUUUAAACAACUUCUACAUUGAUAUAAUCAUUAACAGGUGAAUUUAAAAUAAGCAAAAUUUAAAACCAGUUCAGCAUCAACAAUGCAGCCUCUGGAACUUUUUCUUGCAGGAAGCUGACAUGCUCGCCAUUAGAACUUCUUUUAUAUCUACUUUCUUUCUUUCUUUCUUUCUUUCUUUCUUUCUUUCUUUCUUUCUUUCUUUCUUUCUUUCUUUCUUUCUUUUUCUUUCCUUCUCUCUGUCUGUGUUUCUCACUGUGUAUCUGUCUGUCUGUCUCUGUCUACUAUCUAUUUACUAUUAAUCUAUCAUUCUGUCCCUUUGUCUAUCUCUAUCUAAGAAAUAGCAUAAUGUAUUACUGAGGGCUAAUUUUGGAAUCAGGAAUUUAAGUUUAAGUCCUUUCUCUGACUCAUACUACCUAUGGAGCAAGUACAUAAGCAAAUCGAUAAUCCUUUCAAUGUCCCAGGGAAUCCCAUCUUCCUACUACAUCUAUAGUUUAAGAUUUUAAAAUUUUUACUUAAUUUUUUGGGAAUCUUGUUUAACUUUUUCCAACAUUCCCCAUUUCUCUGCUUUAGCAAAAUAUAUCUACUGGAAAUCAGGACAGUCUUUUUUUUUUCAUCUUUAUUCCUAUCACUUUGCAUGAUAUUUGGUCACUAGUAAACACA
rnacentral:lncRNA from 1 species